rnacentral:rRNA from 1 species
UUCCCAGACUCCUACGGGAGGCAGCAGUGGGGAAUAUUGGGCAAUGGGCGCAAGCCUGACCCAGCAACGCCGCGUGAAGGAAGAAGGCUUUCGGGUUGUAAACUUCUUUUGUCAGGGACGAAGCAAGUGACGGUACCUGACGAAUAAGCCACGGCUAACUACGUGCCAGCAGCCGCGGUAAUACGUAGGUGGCAAGCGUUAUCCGGAUUUACUGGGUGUAAAGGGCGUGUAGGCGGGACUGCAAGUCAGAUGUGAAAACCACGGGCUCAACCUGUGGCCUGCAUUUGAAACUGUAGUUCUUGAGUACUGGAGAGGCAGACGGAAUUCCUAGUGUAGCGGUGAAAUGCGUAGAUAUUAGGAAGAACACCGGUGGCGAAGGCGACUUUCUGGACUGUAACUGACGUUGAGGCACGAAAGUGUGGGGAGCAAACAGGAUUAGAUACCCGCGUA